GAUACUUACCUGGCAGGGGAGAUACCAUGAUCACGAAGGUGGUUUUCCCAGGGCGAGGCUUAUCCAUUGCACUCCGGAUGUGCUGACCCCUGCGAUUUCCCCAAAUGUGGGAAACUCGACUGCAUAAUUUGUGGUAGUGGGGGACUGCGUUCGCGCUUUCCCCUG
rnacentral:snRNA from 1 species